rnacentral:rRNA from 1 species
GCAUAUAGUAGCGGAGGAUAGAAACUAAUAGGAUUCCCUCAGUAAUGGCGAAUGAACAGGGAUUAGCUCAGCAUGGAAAUCGGGGCCUCUGGCCUUGAAUUGUAGUCUCGAGAAGUAUCGCCAACGGAGGCGCAGAUGUAAGCCUCUUGGAAAAGAGCAUCAACGAGGGUGAGAAUCCCGUUUGUCAUCUGCAGUCCCCCGUGCACGGUGUACUUUCUAAAGAGUCACGUUCCUCGGGAUUGGAGCGCAAAGUGGGUGGUAAAUUUCAUCUAAAGCUAAAUAUAGGUUCGAGACCGAUAGCAAACAAGUACCAUGAGGGAAAGGUGAAAAGGACUUUGAAAAGAGAGUUAAAAGUGCCUGAAAUUGCUGAAAGGGAAGCGAAUGGAACCAGUGCUUCUUGGCAAGAUUGGUGCGUGCUAAUGUGAUUGCCUGCUUCCUCAGCGCAAGCGUGGCUGUGGGUUUUGAUCAGGACGCGCGUGUUGUUUCUUGCCUUGUGUGUCAUCGUCAGUUCUCAAUCGAGGAAAACGCCAGGGACAUGGUAGUUUGCCCAUGGGUGAGCGAAUGUGCUUGGUUGAACUCAUUUGUGAACUGGUUCUUGCGUGUCUGGUUGCAGUGCUCUGUGUCCCCAUGACUCUUUGGUGGGUUUACCUUCCUUGGAUGGAGUGGGUGACCAGGACAUCUCCCUGACACAACGACGUUGACUAAAUGGUUCUAUUCGACCCGUCUUGAAAC